GUAUUUGUUAUAUAAGCACAACAUUCUAUUAACAUACAUUGGGGUAAAUUGAAGCAACAUAGACCUGAAAGGUCUACAAAAAGUGCACAGGUGGAGAUAUAAAGAUGACAAGGCGUGCACAUGCUCCCUAGAGAGCCAGCAACAACCCGUCAGGUUUAUUUCAAUAAUGAUCCUUCCGCAGGUUCACCUACGGAAA
rnacentral:misc_RNA from 1 species